rnacentral:rRNA from 1 species
GAUCUUGGGAUGGGGCGAGCGGUCCGCCUCUUUUGGUGUGCACUGGUCUCUCCAUCCUUUUGGUCGGGGACGCGCUCCUGGUCUUAACUGGCUGGGACGCGGAGUCGACGAUGUUACUUUGAAAAAAUUAGAGUGCUCAAAGCAAGCCUAUGCUCUGAAUACAUUAGCAUGGAAUAACGUGAUAGGACUCUGGUCCUAUUGUGUUGGUCUUCGGGACCGGAGUAAUGAUUAAUAGGGACAGUCGGGGGCAUUCGUACUCAACAGUCAGAGGUGAAAUUCUUGGAUUUGUUGGAGACGAACUACUGCGAAAGCAUUUGCCAAGGAUGUUUUCAUUGAUCAAGAACGAAAGUUAGGGGAUCGAAGACGAUCAGAUACCGUCCUAGUCUUAACCAUAAACUAUGCCAUCUAGGAAUUGGGGGUUUGUUUUAUGACACCCCCAGCACCUCGUGAGAAAUCAAAGUCUUUGGGUUCCGGGGGGAGUAUGGUCGCAAGGCUGAAACUUAAAGG